rnacentral:rRNA from 1 species
GACGAACGCUGGCGGCGUGCUUAACACAUGCAAGUCGAACGGAAAGGCCCUGCUUUUGUGGGGUGCUCGAGGGGCGAACGGGUGAGUAACACGUGAGUAACCUGCCCUGGACUUUGGGAUAACUUCAGGAAACUGGUGCUAAUACCGGAUAGGAGCUCCUGCUGCAUGGGGGGGGUUGGAAAGUUUCGGCGGUGGGGGGUGGACUCGCGGCUUAUCAGCUGGUUGGUGGGGUAGUGGCUUACCAAGGCUUUGACGGGUAGCCGGCCUGAGAGGGUGACCGGGCACAUUGGGACUGAGAUACGGCCCAGACGCCUACGGGAGGCAGCAGUGGGGAAUAUUGCACAAUGGGGGGAAGCCUGAUGAAGCAACGCCGCGUGCGGGAUGACGGCCUUCGGGUUGUAAACCGCUUUCGCCUGUGACGAAGCGUGAGUGACGGUAAUGGGUAAAGAAGCACCGGCUAACUACGUG